UAGCCUUUCGAAAGGAAGAUUAAUACCGCAUAAGAUUGUAGUAUCGCAUGAUAUAGCAAUUAAAGGAGCAAUUCGCUAUAAGAUGGACCCGCGUCGCAUUAGCUAGUUGGUGAGGUAAUGGCUCACCAAGGCGACGAUGCGUAGCCGACCUGAGAGGGUGAACGGCCACAUUGGGACUGAGACACGGCCCAGACUCCUACGGGAGGCAGCAUG
rnacentral:rRNA from 1 species